rnacentral:rRNA from 1 species
UCCACCGAUUGACUAAGGUUUCCAGAGGAAGGCUCGUCCGCUCUGGGUUAGUCGGGUCCUAAGCUGAGGCCGACAGGCGUAGGCGAUGGAUAACAGGUUGAUAUUCCUGUACCACCUAUAAUCGUUUUAAUCGAUGGGGGGACGCAGUAGGAUAGGCGAAGCGUGCGAUUGGAUUGCACGUCUAAGCAGUAAGGCUGAGUAUUAGGCAAAUCCGGUACUCGUUAAGGCUGAGCUGUGAUGGGGAGAAGACAUUGUGUCUUCGAGUCGUUGAUUUCACACUGCCGAGAAAAGCCUCUAGAUAGAAAAUAGGUGCCCGUACCGCAAACCGACACAGGUAGUCAAGAUGAGAAUUCUAAGGUGAGCGAGCGAACUCUCGUUAAGGAACUCGGCAAAAUGACCCCGUAACUUCGGGAGAAGGGGUGCUCUUUAGGGUUAACGCCCAGAAGAGCCGCAGUGAAUAGGCCCAAGCGACUGUUUAUCAAAAACACAGGUCUCUGCUAAACCGUAAGGUGAUGUAUAGGGGCUGACGCCUGCCCGGUGCUGGAAGGUUAAGAGGAGUGGUUAGCUUCUGCGAAGCUACGAAUCGAAGCCCCAGUAAACGGCGGCCGUAACUAUAACGGUCCUAAGGUAGCGAAAUUCCUUGUCGGGUAAGUUCCGACCCGCACGAAAGGCGUAACGAUUUGGGCACUGUCUCAACGAGAGACUCGGUGAAAUCAUAGUACCUGUGAAGAUGCAGGUUACCCGCGACAGGACGGAAAGACCCCGUGGAGCUUUACUGUAGCCUGAUAUUGAAAUUCGGCACAGCUUGUACAGGAUAGGUAGGAGCCUUUGAAACGUGAGCGCUAGCUUACGUGGAGGCGCUGGUGGGAUACUACCCUAGCUGUGUUGGCUUUCUAACCCGCACCACUUAUCGUGGUGGGAGACAGUGUCAGGCGGGCAGUUUGACUGGGGCGGUCGCCUCCUAAAAGGUAACGGAGGCGCUCAAAGGUUCCCUCAGAAUGGUUGGAAAUCAUUCAUAGAGUGUAAAGGCAUAAGGGAGCUUGACUGCGAGACCUACAAGUCGAGCAGGGUCGAAAGACGGACUUAGUGAUCCGGUGGUUCCGCAUGGAAGGGCCAUCGCUCAACGGAUAAAAGCUACCCCGGGGAUAACAGGCUUAUCUCCCCCAAGAGUUCACAUCGACGGGGAGGUUUGGCACCUCGAUGUCGGCUCAUCGCAUCCUGGGGCUGUAGUCGGUCCCAAGGGUUGGGCUGUUCGCCCAUUAAAGCGGUACGCGAGCUGGGUUCAGAACGUCGUGAGACAGUUCGGUCCCUAUCCGUCGUGGGCGUAGGAAAUUUGAGAGGAGCUGUCCUUAGUACGAGAGGACCGGGAUGGACAUACCUCUG